rnacentral:rRNA from 1 species
ACUCCUACGGGAGGCAGCAGUGGGGAAUAUUGCACAAUGGGCGCAAGCCUGAUGCAGCCAUGCCGCGUGUAUGAAGAAGGCCUUCGGUUGUAAGUACUUUCAGCAGUGAGGAAGGUGGGUAUGUUAAUAGCAUACUCAUUUGACGUUAGCUGCAGAAGAAGCACCGGCUAACUCCGUGCCAGCAGCCGCGGUAAUACGGAGGGUGCGAGCGUUAAUCGGAAUUACUGGGCGUAAAGCGCAUGCAGGUGGUUUGUUAAGUCAGAUGUG